GACGAACGCUGGCGGCGUGCUUAACACAUGCAAGUCGAACGGAAAGGCCCUGCUUGCAGGGUACUCGAGUGGCGAACGGGUGAGUAACACGUGGGUGAUCUGCCCUGCACUUCGGGAUAAGCUUGGGAAACUGGGUCUAAUACCGGAUAGGAGCCAUCUUUAGUGUGGUGGUUGGAAAGUUUUUUCGGUGUAGGCUGAGCUCGCGGCCUUUCAGCUUGUUGGUGGGGUAAUGGCCUACCAAGGCGGCGACGGGUAGCCGGCCUGAGAGGGUGUACGGCCACAUUGGACCUGAGAGACGGGCCAGACUGCGACGGGAGGCAGCAGGGGGGAAUGUUGCAUGAUGGGCGGAAGCCUGAUGCAGCGACGCCGCGUGGGGGAUGAAGGCUUUCGGGGUGUAAGCUCCUAUCGCUAUGGACGAAGCUUUUUUGUGACGGUACCUAGAGAAGAAGCACCGGCUAACUACGUG
rnacentral:rRNA from 1 species